ACUAAUAGCGUAUUAGCGUGUAGAUACCAAAAUAUGUAUAUCUGAAUAAUUUUUAUCUAAUGUUAUUUCCUAAUUUGACAAUUUAUCAUUCUAAACAAUUAAUUUUAGAUAUUUUCCAACUAAAAUUAGUUAUGCAGGCUUCUCUUGAGAAAGUAGAUAGCACAGUUAUAUUCAACAAAUUAUUUUUUGGAAUAUUUGCUGUUUCCUUUGU